UACGGAGGGUGCGAGCGUUGUCCGGAAUCACUGGGCGUAAAGGGCGCGUAGGCGGCCUGAUAAGUAGGGGUGAAAUCCUGCGGCUUAACCGCAGGGCUGCCUUCUAAACUGUCAGGCUUGAGCACAGUAGAGGCAGGUGGAAUUCCCGGUGUAGCGGUGGAAUGCGUAGAGAUCGGGAAGAACAUCAGUGGCGAAGGCGGCCUGCUGGGCUGUUGCUGACGCUGAGGCGCGACAGCGUGGG
rnacentral:rRNA from 1 species